GGCCGACUGGCCUAAUGGUUAAGGCGUCAGUUUCCGGCGAUACCUGAAUAGCUGAAGAUUCUGGGUUCGAAUCCCAGGUUGGUCG